rnacentral:rRNA from 1 species
CUGGCGGCGUGCCUUAAUACAUGCAAGUAGAACGCUGAAGCUUGGUGCUUCACCGAGCGGAUGAGUUGCGAACGGGUGAGUAACGCGUAGGUAACCUGCCUCUUAGCGGGGGAUAACUAUUGGAAACGAUAGCUAAUACCGCAUAAAAGACGAUAUCGCAUGAUAUUGACUGAAAGGUGCAAAUGCAUCACUAAGAGAUGGACCUGCGUUGUAUUAGCUAGUUGGUGAGGUAACGGCUCACCAAGGCAACGAUACAUAGCCGACCUGAGAGGGUGAUCGGCCACACUGGGACUGAGACACGGCCCAGACUCCUACGGGAGGCAGCAGUAGGGAAUCUUCGGCAAUGGGGGCAACCCUGACCGAGCAACGCCGCGUGAGUGAAGAAGGUUUUCGGAUCGUAAAGCUCUGUUGUAAGAGAAGAACGAGUGUGAGAGUGGAAAGUUUCACACUGUGACGGUAACUUACCCGAAAGGACGCUAA